GGGCCUAGAAAGCCCCGCAAGCA
rnacentral:tRNA from 1 species